rnacentral:tRNA from 1 species
AUUGAGUUAGUUUAAUUAAAAAUUCUGGGUUGUGGUCCUAGGGAUGGGGGGGUAGCCCCACUCAAUA